AACAGGAAUGGUUCGCUCAGAACUGACUCAGGAAAUGGAUCUGAUUGAUUAUUCAAGACCUUCAGCAAAGCCUUGUAAAAGAGCUGCCUCGUUUCCUGACACCUCUUUGAAGGACAUGCCGGUGUUUGUGUGCUCCUUUGAAGGAGAGUUUUCCAGAUAGUUUCUUUGAUGGACGCUCAGUUACCCCAGUACAAAAAUGAAGAAGUAGAACUGACAAUUCUGUGGUUCUUGGAUCAGAGUGUGA